rnacentral:rRNA from 1 species
GUGCCAGCCGCCGCGGUAAUACAGAGGGGGCAAGCGUUGUUCGGAAUUACUGGGCGUAAAGGGCGCGUAGGCGGCCUUCUAAGUCGAACGUGAAAUCCCUGGGCUCAACCCAGGAACUGCGUCCGAUACUGGGAGGCUUGAAUCCGGGAGAGGGAUGCGGAAUUCCAGGUGUAGCGGUGAAAUGCGUAGAUAUCUUGAGGAACACCGGUGGCGAAGGCGGCAUCCUGGACCGGUAUUGACGCUGAGGCGCGAAAGCCAGGGGAGCAAACGGGAUUAGAUACCCCAGUAGUCC